AACGAACGCUGGCGGCAGGCCUAACACAUGCAAGUCGAACGGACCCUUCGGGGUUAGUGGCGGACGGGUGAGUAACACGUGGGAACGUGCCUUUAGGUUCGGAAUAGCUCCUGGAAACGGGUGGUAAUGCCGAAUGUGCCCUUCGGGGGAAAGAUUUAUCGCCUUUAGAGCGGCCCGCGUCUGAUUAGCUAGUUGGUGAGGUAAUGGCUCACCAAGGCGACGAUCAGUAGCUGGUCUGAGAGGAUGACCAGCCACAUUGGGACUGAGACACGGCCCAAACUCCUACGGGAGGCAGCAGUGGGGAAUCUUGCGCAAUGGGCGAAAGCCUGACGCAGCCAUGCCGCGUGGAUGAUGAAGGUCAUAGGAUUGUAAAAUCCUUUCACCGGUGAAGGUAAUGACUGUAGCCGGAGAAGAAGCCCCGGCUAACUUCGUGCCAGCCGCCGCGGUAACAC
rnacentral:rRNA from 1 species